rnacentral:rRNA from 1 species
UACGAAGGGGGCUAGCGUUGCUCGGAAUCACUGGGCGUAAAGCGCACGUAGGCGGAUUGCUAAGUCAGGGGUGAAAUCCUGGAGCUCAACUCCAGAACUGCCUUUGAUACUGGCGAUCUUGAGUCCGGGAGAGGUGAGUGGAACUGCGAGUGUAGAGGUGAAAUUCGUAGAUAUUCGCAAGAACACCAGUGGCGAAGGCGGCUCACUGGCCCGGUACUGACGCUGAGGUGCGAAAGCGUGGGGAGCAAACCGG